rfam:Folsomia candida strain VT population Fcan01_Sc001, whole genome shotgun sequence.
UUUCGUUUCUAAGUACUAGUGCCGCAGGAGAAUGGACCUUUACACAGCUCCUGCUGCUCCAGUGCUUAUCAAUGGAA